AGAACAACGCACUGAACUUGACCAGAGAAUGGAACUUGAGCAUGCAAGUAAAGAGAGAGAGAGAGAGGAAAAAAGGAAAUACCACUCUUACUAAUCUCUUUCUUCCCAAAUCACCGACUGCGCGAGAAUCUCCUCUUCCUGUGCGGAAGUUUAUCGUGGUCGGCCCGCCUGUCACUGACGCCCCCCAAAGGAAAGUGACAGCGGCUUUAUUCACCCGCUGACCCGUAAAGAGGACAGCGGAAGAAAAACAAAACAAUCCUUCCAUCUCAAAGUUGAGGCCUUGCAGCCUUGAAGAUAGAUAGAUAAAAGGAUAGAGCGAUGAUGUCCAUCUGCUCUGAUGAUCUCUCUCCAACUUUGUUUGGCAUCAGCCUUUUCUCCAUCCCACUCUGGUACCAUCAGCCCCAGAGGACCCAUGCACUGGCCUUUUCUUGACCCAGUUUAGGACUUCAAUUCUGGGCUUUCUGAUCCGUCCACUCUCCUCUCUGUGUGGGGGUUCAACAGAGAAUCCUGAGAUUAUCGGAUGGUCACUUAAGAGGGAACGAUAGAGAGCGAAGUGCUGUCCACUUAGCUGAAGAUUAUCCUUUAAAAAGAAGGGAUGGCGGUGGAGGAGAGAAGGAGAAAAAAGGAUGUGCUUAAGAGAUGGAUAUAGAGGGGGCGGAUGGAGGGAGAGAUUGCGAGGACAGUCGGAGUGAUAGAGCGAGGGCAAAUGAAUCAUAUGGAGAUAAAGUGUGUGUGGGAGAGGGUUAACAAAAAAGCGAGGAGAGAAAUACGGCAACGAGGGAAACGUCUAAAUGAAAAGCUGAGAUGGAGGUGAGGUGAGGUGACAGAGCGAGAGAGAGAGAGAGCGGAGAAAGGCCGACAGAGAGAGGCAGAGAUGGAGAGAUAACGAGAGGAGGAAGCAGGAAGGAUGAGGACAAGAGCUGGAUUAAGCAGUAAAAACAGGGAUUGUGAAGUGUUCACUAACCAAACUGAGGACCUGUGGCUGUACUUUGUAUGGGAAAUGAGGUGUAUAUGACCACUUGUAUUUGUCAAACAAACAGAAAAGUCUAGUGUUACAGUUUAAUUACAGACUGAAUGUUAGUGAAAUAUUUAUACGUAGUCUUCUUUCUAAUUUCAUGUUUUACAGAGUUUGUGGCCCAUUAUAUGUACUUUAAGGCACUUCAGGUUUGUCACUUAAAGAAUAAUUAUUUUCAUAGUUUUGCAAUUGUCUAUCAGUUAUGAUAACAUUUUACUCGCUAAAGUAUUUGCUAAGAUCUGAGAACACAGUGACAUCGCUACAAGUCUAAUGGGGAAAGAAACACAAACAGUUUAGCCCCAUUAUCAUAAAAACUUUAUUUCAAACUACAUUCAUUGAUGUUUUGGCCAGCAAGUUGAAAUAGCAAAUGUGUUAGCAAACAAUGGCACAUCCAUCAGACAUGGAGCAACACUGGAGUCGUGUGUUUGUGUUCACCUGACAAUUUGAAGUCCAAUAGGCACUCUCCUUUUAGCUCUGCUUUUGGUCUCCAACAACUCCUGAAUCAUAUAUCUUGCUCUUUAGCUGCUAAAUGCUCCGCUAUGUUCACCAGCUGGUUGCUAACUUUGUGUUUCUGUCCUUUGGUGCUGGGCAGGUAGUGUACAGCCAGAUUUUAGAGAAACUGCACCACCUACCAUACCAGACAAAGAUCCAUUUUCCAUUUAAAGUAUUACAGGUUGCUGACAAAUAAUGUAGCAUUUAAAAAGACUGUUUUUAAAACUUUGUCUGGCGCAGUGCUCACUCCAUCUAAAAACGCACCAGGGCUACAUUACAUCACUUACAGCAAACUUCACAGAGAACAAUGACAGCAAAACAGCAUCACCGAUCUGUUUUAGCCGAAUAUUCUCUGGUCUAGCUCUGCUGAAAACACAAAACCGAAUCCAUCAGCACGUUGGCGUGUCGUUCACUACCGAGCCUGUUUGUAACCAGUAGGCUGCCGACAAGUUAUCUUCACUUGUUCAACUGACUUUAGCAGUUUAGAUAACAGACACUCAACUGUCUUGCUGUUACAAACAUGAACUAACCACAGACUGUCGCCAUCGUGCACCGCUGCCGAAUCUAUAUAGGGGGAACACUGGAAUGGAUGUUUGGCGUUAUUUUUGGCCUGGCGGGGGAUUC